UCGCUUGCGUUAGCUUUGGUUAACACACGUGUCAGAGAGAUUUUUGGUGUUUUUAUUUGUGUUUUUCAGUUUGUUUUGUAAAUUUUAUAGUGAAAAUAGUUGGUAUUUGGUUAUAAUAGUUUAUAUUAACAUUGACAAGGUUGGGUGAAGAGAUAUUUUAUGUCAUACUAACAACUACUAUUUUCAAUAUACUUUUUAAGUAAACUAACGAAGGUUGUAAUAUC